UAGGGAGUGGGAAGAGUUUGUGAAACAUGUAGACUCUAUUGAAUUCAGAGUUAGAAGAAUAAAAAUGCAAGAAAAUCGUUCAAAACACACCACCCCACAUACCAUAAGUCGAGAAGGUUACGCCCGAUUGGAGGUGAAAUUGCAAGUUGUUAAGCUGGUACAAGGAGGACG